GAGUGAAGUGGGAAAAGCUCAAAUUUAAAAUCUGGCAGUCUUUGGCUGUCCGAGUUGUAAUCUAGAGAAGUGUGUCCUACACUGGACUGUGUAUAAGUCUUCUGGAAUGAAGCGUCAUAGAGGGUGAGAAUCCCGUCUUUGACACAGACUCCCAGUGUAUUAUGGCAUGCUCUCAAAGAGUCGAGUUGUUUGGGAAUGCAGCUCUAAAUGGGUGGUAACCUCCAUCUAAAGCUAAAUAUUGGCAAGAGACCGAUAGCGAACAAGUACCGUGAGGGAAAGAUGAAAAGAACUUUGGAAAGAGAGUUAAACAGUACGUGAAAUUGUUGAAAGGGAAACGCUUGAAGUCAGUUGCAUUGGCCGGGGAUCAGCCUAGCUCUUUUGCUUGGUGUACUUCCUGGUCGAUGGGCCAACAUGAGUUUUGACUGCCAGAGAAGGGCAGAGGGAAUGUGGCACCUCCGGGUGUGUUAAAGCCUUCUGUCAUAUAUGUCAGUUGGGACUGAGGAAUGCAGCAUGCCGCAAGGCCAGGUCAUCUAGACCAUGUUCAUGCUUUGGAUGUUGGCRUAAUGGCUUUAAUCGACCCGUCUUGAAACACGGACCAAGGAGUCUAACAUACCUGCGAGUGUUUGGGUGGAAAACCCGAGCGCGUAAUGAAAGUGAAAGUUGAGAUCUCUGUCGUAGGGAGCAUCGACGCCCGGACCUGAGCUUUUUAGCAAUGGACCUGCGGUAGAGCAUGUAUGUUGGGACCCGAAAGAUGGUGAACUAUGCCUGAAUAGGGCGAAGCCAGAGGAAACUCUGGUGGAGGCUCGUAGCGAUUCUGACGUGCAAAUCGAUCGUCGAAUUUG
rnacentral:rRNA from 1 species